GGCUGGGUUUUUUUUUUUAAUUAAAACUCCCAACUAGUUUUUUGCAUAUGUCUUUUUUUACGCGGCCGAGGCCAAAAUAUUGCUUGAAAAUAUGCAACAGGCAACACACAAACACAUGCAUAUAUAUAUAUGUAUAUAUAUAUGUAAAGGACGCACAUAGUUGGCCAUGGCAUUGACGUUGGCUGCAUUGACGCACAUAAUCCCCAGUUAAGCCACAGGUUCCAGCCCAGCUCCGCCCACUCUUAAGUUGAGUUUUUGGUUGAUUUCAAUCGGACUGUAUGCAUAAACAGGGACUGCUUGAGUGUGUGUGUGGGGGUGUGCGCGUGUGUGUGUGUGUGUGUGCCGGGCCAACAAACAGGCCUAGCAUAAACAAAACGCACACAUUGAAAAAUGAGCGACAAAGCGAGCGCAAGAGAGAGCGAGAAAGUGAGAGGUGGAGAAAGAGACAGAGAGAGAGAGAAAGGGAGAGAGAUAGGGAGAGAGGGCGCUAAAAAGAGCGCCAAUGUUAAAUGGAGCGUUGCAUAAAAGCUCGCUCAGCCGUGCAAUCAGACAAAGAGAAAGACACGCGAGCUUUUGUUACCUACACCACAAAAUAAAGGCACUUAAAUUCUAAAGGAAAAACAUUGUUGAAUUGAUUAAAAUAAUAACUAAAAUAUUAGCUUCGAUUUAAUUUUUUACCCAUUUUUAUAGUACGUAAAACAUAGUUGGUUAAAUUAACAAUCAUGCCGUUUUAAAUAAUCUUUAAUAUAGGGUAUUUUAAUAUGUAGAGCUUUAAACAAGACAUCUUCAGUCAAACUUGAGUGUAUAUAUAUUCUUGUUCAACGCGACAGUCUGACAUGAUGUAGUCAUAUUUGCUUACUUUCAGCCUUGAACCUAUUUUGAGUUUUGAGUCUUGAGUAAGGACCUUGUUGAAUAAUAAGGUUUAACUCUCAAAACGUUAAGAACUUAUGGCAAUACAUUAAUUUGAUAUAAAUUUAUUUUAAAUUCCCUUAUAAACUGUUUAUUUCAUAUGAAAACAUACUUCUUAAUGGGAUUAAUAAUCAUUAACUAUUUACUGCCACUAUUUAACCAAGUUUAAUUAGCUAAUGUCUUUAUUGUGUGUGCCGUUAAGUUGUUUAUACUAGUUGAUCCAAGUGCCCACUUUAAGUUUAUAAGUUUGCCCGAAGAGAGCAGCCGCAGAGCACUUGGGCGAGCAUAAAGUCUCUUACGUUUCGCCUAAAAAAAAAAAAAGAAAAUAAAAAAAUAAAAGCUCUCUUGUGCUUAUCAGUUGCUGCCACAGUCGCAGUCGCCGUUGCCGCCGCAGUUGCCGUCGCAGUUGCCGCUGUUGUCGCCGUCGCAGUCGCAGUCUCGCUGUUUGGUUGGGCUGCUGUGUGUUGAUUUUCAGUGGCCGCGUCGCCUCGGCCGAGUGUGUCAUGAAAAGCAUUUGGACGGCUUCCGUUUGGCAUCAGUUUGUUGGCAAUACUCAGACGCGUCGGCCGCAAUCCUUAGCCAGAUCGCAAGCAAUUUUCCAAACAGUGGGACACAACGUGCAGCGAGCGACGCAAUAAUACCAAAAAAAAAAAAACACAUACAAAUAAUAAUAAAUAGAAAAUCUGGCUAAAAGCUAAAGGCUGGAAAUGUUUAUAAAUUUUAAGCCAAAACAUUUGUGAUGUGAUACGAAAGACAAUUUGACGCGUUGUUCUUUUCGUUUUUUGAUUGAGUUUUCCCCCCGUUACCUACCCCUCAAUUGGUUCGUUUUUGAACUUGAUUUAUUUUGAUAUUAAUUUUUUUCAAUACGCAUUUACGAGCUGUUAAACACAUCGCGUUUUUCUGUGACUGUGUCUGUGUGUGUGAGUGUGCUUUUUGGGUGUAAAUUUAAUUUAUAUUUAUGUUUUGGAAUUUAUGUGGCCAAAGUUUAUGAUUUGUCCGACAAAUAAAAAGUAUAUCAACGCCCACGCCAAAAGCGAAAUAUCUACAAAAUACUCAUCUCGAACAUUUAUUUUGCAUUGGCCGUGAACGAAGCUGAAUUUGUUUUGAGUAGAUUUGUCAAAUGGUCUGCGAUCUCGCUCUCCAUCUCUUUCUACGCUCCAAGCGCAGCCGAACAGAACAUUUUUCCAAGAGUUUCUAAAAGAAAGACAAAAAAAA